UACGAAGGGAGCUAGCGUUACUCGGAAUCACUGGGCGUAAAGCGUAUGUAGGCGGAAUUUCAAGUCAGAGGUGAAAUCCCCGGGCUCAACCCGGGAAUUGCCUUUGAAACUGUAAUUCUUGAGUAUGGUAGAGGAUGGUGGAAUUUCCAGUGUAGAGGUGAAAUUCGUAGAUAUUGGAAAGAACACCGGUGGCGAAGGCGACCAUCUGGGCCAUUACUGACGCUGAGAUACGAAAGCGUGGGGAGCAAACGGG
rnacentral:rRNA from 1 species